rnacentral:rRNA from 1 species
CAAUAGCGUAUAUUAAAGUUGUUGCGGUUAAAAAGCUCGUAGUUGGAUUUCUGUCUGAGGCGGCCGGUCCACUUUCUGAGUGAGCAUCUGGUCCGCUUUGGGCAUCCUCCUGGGGAACGUUUCCGCGCUUGAUUGUGUGGUACGGAAUCUAGGACUUUUACUUUGAGGAAAUUAGAGUGUUCACUGCAGGCAUACGCCUUGAAUACGUUAGCAUGGAAUAAUAAGAUAGGACCUCGGUUCUAUUUUUUCGGUUUCUAGAGCUGAGGUAAUGAUUAACAGGGAUAGUUGGGGGCGAUUCGUAUUUAACUGUCAGAGGUGAAAUUCUUGGAUUAACGGAAGAAAACUAACUGCGAAAGCAUCUGCCAAGGAUGUUUUC